rnacentral:tRNA from 1 species
GGGCAGGUGGCGGAACCGGCAGACGCGACGGCCUCAAAAGUCGUUGGGCUCACGCUCGUGAGGGUUCGACUCCCUCCCUGCCCA